rnacentral:rRNA from 1 species
UACGUAGGGUGCAAGCGUUGUCCGGAAUUAUUGGGCGUAAAGAGCUCGUAGGCGGUCUGUCACGUCGGCUGUGAAAUCCCGAGGCUCAACCUCGGGUCUGCAGUCGAUACGGGCAAACUAGAGUAUUGCAGGGGAGACUGGAAUUCCUGGUGUAGCGGUGAAAUGCGCAGAUAUCAGGAGGAACACCGGUGGCGAAGGCGGCUCUCUGGACCAUAACUGACGCUGAGACGCGAAAGCUAGGGGAGCAAACAGG